rnacentral:rRNA from 1 species
AUUGAACGCUGGCGGCAUGCCUUACACAUGCAAGUCGAACGGUAACAGGUUAAGCUGACGAGUGGCGAACGGGUGAGUAAUGUAUCGGAACGUGCCCAGUCGUGGGGGAUAACUGCUCGAAAGAGCAGCUAAUACCGCAUACGACCUGAGGGUGAAAGCGGGGGAUCGCAAGACCUCGCGCGAUUGGAGCGGCCGAUAUCAGAUUAGGUAGUUGGUGAGGUAAAGGCUCACCAAGCCGACGAUCUGUAGCUGGUCUGAGAGGACGACCAGCCACACUGGGACUGAGACACGGCCCAGACUCCUACGGGAGGCAGCAGUGGGGAAUUUUGGACAAUGGGCGCAAGCCUGAUCCAGCCAUGCCGCGUGCGGGAAGAAGGCCUUCGGGUUGUAAACCGCUUUUGUCAGGGAAGAAAAGGUUCUGGCUAAUACCUGGGACUCAUGACGGUACCUGAAGAAUAAGCACCGGCUAACUACGUGCCAGCAGCCGCGGUAAUACGUAGGGUGCAAGCGUUAAUCGGAAUUACUGGGCGUAAAGCGUGCGCAGGCGGUUAUGCAAGACAGAGGUGAAAUCCCCGGGCUCAACCUGGGAACUGCCUUUGUGACUGCAUGGCUAGAGUACGGUAGAGGGGGAUGGAAUUCCGCGUGUAGCAGUGAAAUGCGUAGAUAUGCGGAGGAACACCGAUGGCGAAGGCAAUCCCCUGGACCUGUACUGACGCUCAUGCACGAAAGCGUGGGGAGCAAACAGGAUUAGAUACUCUGGUAGUCCACG